AAGUCGUAACAAGGUUUCCGUAGGUGAACCUGCGGAAGGAUCAUUAAACAACUAAUAGUCUUUUACAAAACUAUAUCAACCCUUUGUGAACCAAAAAACCUUUUCGCUUCGGUAGCAGGCUUGGUUGCGUGCGGUUCGAAAAAACCAAGCGCUCUCAAGCUGUCAGCCUGCCGGCAGCACCAAACAUAAACCUGUUUUAAAACUAUUGUCUGAACAGAAUCAUUUUCGAAUGAAAAUUAAAACUUUCAACAACGGAUCUCUUGGUUCUC
rnacentral:misc_RNA from 1 species